AGGAAACAGCUGCCAGUUACACAAAAUCCAUAAAGAAAGGUAAUCUGAGCUCCAGAGAUGAAUUCACAGAAGCAUUUCCUCGUCCUGCUCCGCCGGUGAUGCAGAUCAGAACAACACAGGUCUGAAACAAACAAACAAACAUAUCCGUUGUUUUAUAUUACUGAGCGCUCCUCUCCUAACAUCCUGCUGUGUGUGUGUUCUUACAGCGGCAGAUUUCAACACCAGGCGGAGCUCAGAUCACCAUGUCCAACGUCUGUGGAGUUCAGAUCGGCAACAACAACAGCAUGAAUAUAGUUCAGAAACCGCGGCAGAGGCACCGGACGGCUCCUUCCAGCGUCGGCAGGUCACAGAACUCGGAGAACUCACAGAAAAAACCUCAGUGACAUCUUCACACAGGAAUCAGCUCUCGUUCAGCUCUCAGGAGUUGAGAGUGUUUUAGUGGCUAGACUAUAACUGAGUCAAAGGGAAAUAGAAUUUCAAUGCGGCUGAAAAAUAUUCAGGCCUAAAUGUAGGAUUCAUGUAUUUGAACCGCAUAUAAAAUAUCCAUGCAUUUGGAUUACACAGUAUAACAUUAACUAACCAAUAAAUGUAAUGAGAUGCAUAUUUGUUAGUCGUGCAUAAAGUCAGAUUAAUAAUAAACCACGCAAUGUUUUUGUUACUUGAAAUAAAC
rnacentral:lncRNA from 1 species